ensembl:lncRNA
GGGAAAGGGUGCAUCCCUAGCUAAAAAAAACUUUCGGUAAUAAUCUUUUACCUGGUUGAGAGAUCCAUCAACGUGUUUGGAGACCAUCAUGACAGCGGGACUGAUGCCGGGCCGAGGGUUCAGAGAGGCGGCCAAUGCAUUUGAACCGAGGCUGGCCGAGGCUGAAGCAGAGUGGGAGACGCGUUGAACCAUCCUGCCCUGCUCCUCGGCGCUGGCACCCUCAGUCAAAGUGCAGGCGUACAUCAGGAUGUUUUUACUCAGGGAGUUGGCAUCACCUGUAGGAAACGCCACUGGAAUACGGGAGGAGAAGGACACCUAAAGGGAGAGAUGGAAGGGAGCGAUGAACCAUCAGGACAACAGGCACAUAUUCUUUACAGCCCUUCAUCCAAAUAGAUACCAAAUUAUCACUUUAGCUUCAGCUCUCUAAUAAGAGAAUGCUUGUUCUUGUAUUAUGAACAUAUGAACAGGAACAAAAAGCCAUGUGUCCGCAUACUGUAUCAACGCAGCCCAUGCAAAGUACUCAGAGCAAGUAAGUUAAGUCCCAUGUGAAGUUAUUUUUAGGAGCUGAGAUAAGGCUGAGCAGCUUCCAAUCCUUUCUCUACUGUCUUCUACUGUGUUUUGACCUCCCCAGGCUGCUUCUGUUGCAGCGCCGCUCACCUUUAGGACGCCAAUGCUCUCCAGGGUGAUCACCUCACCGCAGGAGUUCACACACGGGUUCACUAAACUCCAACACUAACGGAUCUGUUAUCGCUCCUCCGAUCUCUUGCACAAUGAGCACAACAUGUAAAGAACAUUCGAAUCGCAGCUUCUAAUUUUGAGUCAACCGGAAUAUUGUUAAUUCAUUAAGCUUAUUGUUGAUUAUACACAUUAAACUUCCAAACAUAAAAUUAAUUGGAGCGAUUUUUAGGAAAAUUGAGAAAUCAUGACAAAGGCCACAUACAUUGGAAAACCAGGGACAGUUUAGCAGUCUUACAUAAGGAUCAGGACAAAGAGGUGCUCACCUGAACCUGUCUGAAGAUUCCCUGGUUGAAUUCGUCCAGAUACUUCACAUGCCAAACCAGGAAGGACCCAUCGUUAGGAUGAAUGGUGAACAACAUGUCUGGGCUUUUGUUCCACUCUGUGAUAAGAGUCUCCAUCUUCCUCUCCAGCAGCAUGGAGGGCAAAGGCAUGCUGGAGUUGGAUCCCGGGGAGGACGCCUUAGUGCUUCCCUGCUCCCCGGGCUCCCCCUCCUCUCCUUGCUCAGAGGACGCUUUGUCGGACAUCUCGUCCAGGUCUGGAACACAGGAAACAUUACUCUUUUACAACUUGACGUGGAUUUUAAGCUAAAGAGUUUGGACGAAUGCGUAAAGGCCUGGUUGUGAGGUCAUACCAAAGUCAAACUUGAUAGUGGAUCCCUCGGGGUCCAGGGGGUCCUCAGUCGUCUGGUCCACGUGCUGUUCAGAGAAUUUACGGAGCUGCAGCAUAAAGAGGUCCAUGGAGGUUGUGAAGCUGAGGUCCUUAUUGUUGAGCCAGUGAACAACGAACCCUCCGCCACCGGUGCCAUCGUCCGGGUUGAAAACUGCAGAGUCAGCCAGCGCUGAUGGGAUGUCUGACCGAGUAAGAGGGUGGGAAGAGAUACAUGGAUGAAAAUAGUACAAAAAAUAAAAGGCUGACUACAACGGCACGCCAGCUUCCACUAAAGAUUCACAGCUACUUUGAAGGUGUUGAAUUUCUUUUAAAUCGCAGAGAUGCUUUCUGUUGUAUCACAGGCUGUUGCAUUUUAUAAUCCAAAAACAAAUUGCAUUUCAUUAUUCGCAAGACAGAAAUUAAUUAAAUUAAUCAAGUUUCAAGUAUAAGCUACAAUUAAAUAAAUUGUGAUCAACAUACAGGAUCUGUUGAAUUCAACGGAGUGCCUAUUGCAGACGAAGGAAACCUAAACAUUACAGAAGAUGGUCACUAGUGCAUUAUUUAUGCAUCUACUGUGUGGCAAAGCCCCUUACCUGUGUUGGGGUUAAUACUAGCGGAGAUAUGGAAGUGACACAGGGCAUUGGCGUGAUGGGCGAUGUGCCGGUGAGUGUGUGCGUCCUGCGUGCCGAGCUGUGAGGGCAGCAGCUCACUGUGAGCCACCAAAGAGGAGGAUCGCCGCCGGCCUCGCCGCAGAUGCUUCAGGUGAUGGAUGGACUGAUCGAGCCAAGCACAGGGAUAAGACACAGACCAACGGGUGUAAGCCAACCACCGGUUGUUCGCGUUUAAGAUUUUAUUUUAGCAUUUAAUUGCAAUCCGACCUGAGCAACUGAGUGAGCGUUACCUCCAAAGCAUGCUGGAUCUUGUCCUUAUUUCCGGCCAGUCCCGGCAGGCUGGAGCUGGUGGAGUGUAUGUUCUCAGAGAUCUGUCCACCCAGCAGGCUGUCUUCCGGGAGCAGGGUCUCUGACCACAUCCUACACACACCAUCCUCGCAGGAAGUCAGCAUCACAUUGCACACCGAACCCCUAGAAGAACGACGGGAGAAUGCAACUCUUACACAAUCAGUAAUGAUGAAGGAAUGAAUUGAAAGGCUCAAGUGAAAUAUAAGGUUAAAAACCCCAUUUAAAGUGAUUCACCUAGAGGACAACAAUACAAAGAGCUCCCUCUGACUGGCUGCUUCGACCACCAAUUUUACCAUUUUUAAUAUGCUCACAUACAUACAUCUCAAUAUACGGACACAUGGUCAGGAACACUACAGGUAUUUCAAUACUGGGAAUAAAGGUCAUCUUUCUUAAACAUUCAAGUUUUCCCUAGAGAAUAAAGGGAUGUAUAACAGAGAGGAUAAAAAACAUUUGAGUUAUUAUUAGCAUUGAACACGAUAUAGAAUUUAUCAAACAAUAAACACUGGUGACCAUGUGACCAUGUGACUGUGUGUGUGUGUGUGUGUGUGUGCUUUCUCACUUGGGCAUGUACUUGCUGGUCCUCCUCCAGGACAUACCCGUAACAGAGCGAGGAUGAGCCAGGUAAACGAAGGAGAAGUGAACAGGAGGAGGCCUUUUGUCGGACGGGUCGUGGACCACCACUGCAGAACGCCAGCCCGUGGAGUCGGCUCAGACUCUCGGAGGUUUGCGUCUGCGAAAGAUACUGAAGAUUGAUGGCGGCUGUUCCAGAGCGCCGUCUCCUCCGUCGCCCCUUCUUCUCCAUCGCUCUCUCCCUCUGCACUCGUGUCGCUUUCCCUUCCUCCUCCAGCUCUGAGGAAGGUCGGCCUCUCUUACUGUGGUUAAACUCGUCCAUCCGUCUCUCGGGCUCACCUGUCCAGCCGGCCUUGGGCUCGCUGAUGAAUGUCUCGCCCCUGCAGUUGUUUCAGGGAUGAUUCACUGCCGCCGCUGUGAACGAUUUCCUUUCCUGUCCACAGGUUCAGAAUCCCAUUCAGGCAUGUCCCUGUGAUCUGUAAAUCUAAUCUAAUUGU